AACGAACGCUGGCGGCAGGCCUAACACAUGCAAGUCGAGCGGUCCUUGCGGGUUGGGGGGCGCGGGGGAGAGAAGCGCGGGGUAAUACACCCUUCUCUGCCUAAUAGUCGGGGAAAACUGAGUGAAAGAGCAUAUACUCCCGCGGGGGAAAAGAUGUUGCGGGGAAGGAAUAGCCCGGGUUGGAUUAUGUAGGGGGGGGGGUAAUGGCCUACCAAGCCGACGGUCCAUAGCUGGGUUGAGAGGAUGAUCAGCCACACUGGGACUGAGACACGGCCCAGACUCCUACGGGAGGCAGCAGUGGGGAAUCUUAGACAAUGGGGGCAACCAUGAUCUAGCCAUGCCGCGUGAGUGAUGAAGGCCUUAGGGUUGUAAAGCUCUUUCAGCUGGGAAGAUAAUGACGGUACCAGCAGAAGAAGCCCCGGCUAACUCCGUG
rnacentral:rRNA from 1 species